ACUCCUACGGGAGGCAGCAGUGGGGAAUAUUGCGCAAUGGGCGAAAGCCUGACGCAGCGACGCCGCGUGGGGGAUGACGGCCUUCGGGUUGUAAACCUCUUUCAGCAGGGACGAAGCGAAAGUGACGGUACCUGCAGAAGAAGCACCGGCCAACUACGUGCCAGCAGCCGCGGUAAUACGUAGGGUGCAAGUGUUGUCCGGAAUUAUUGGGCGUAAAGAGCUCGUAGGCGGUUUGUUGCGUCGGCUGUGAAAACCUGAGGCUCAACCUCAGGCCUGCAGUCGAUACGAGCAGACUAGAGUGUUGCAGGGGAGACUGGAAUUCCUGGUGUAGCGGUGAAAUGCGCAGAUAUCAGGAGGAACACCGGUGGCGAAGGCGGGUCUCUGGGCAACAACUGACGCUGAGGAGCGAAAGCGUGGGGAGCGAACAGGAUUAGAUACCCUGGUAG
rnacentral:rRNA from 1 species